rnacentral:rRNA from 1 species
AUUGAACGCUGGCGGCAGGCCUAACACAUGCAAGUCGAGCGGAUGAAGGGAGCUUGCUUCUGGAUUCAGCGGCGGACGGGUGAGUAAUGCCUAGGAAUCUGCUUGGCUGUGGGGGAUAACGUCCGGAAACGGGCGCUAAUACCGCAUACGUCCUGAGGGAGAAAGUGGGGGAUCUUCGGACCUCACGCUAUCAGAUGAGCCUAGGUCGGAUUAGCUAGUUGGUGGGGUAAAGGCCUACCAAGGCGACGAUCCGUAACUGGUCUGAGAGGAUGAUCAGUCACACUGGAACUGAGACACGGUCCAGACUCCUACGGGAGGCAGCAGUGGGGAAUAUUGGACAAUGGGCGAAAGCCUGAUCCAGCCAUGCCGCGUGUGUGAAGAAGGUCUUCGGAUUGUAAAGCACUUUAAGUUGGGAGGAAGGGCAGUAAGUUAAUACCUUGCUGUUUUGACGGUACCAACAGAAUAAGCACCGGCUAACUUCGUG